rnacentral:tRNA from 1 species
UCUCUGGUCGUAUAUCGGUUAGUACACGCGCUUGUCAUGUAACCGUGCGCGCGAAAGCGGGGUUCGACUCCCCGCCAGAGAG